rnacentral:rRNA from 1 species
AACGAACGCUGGCGGCAGGCUUAACACAUGCAAGUCGAACGCACCGCAAGGUGAGUGGCAGACGGGUGAGUAACACGUGGGGAUCUGCCCAAUGGUACGGAAUAGCUCCGGGAAACUGGAAUUAAUACCGUAUGUGCCCUUCGGGGGAAAGAUUUAUCGCCAUCGGAUGAACCCGCGUCGGAUUAGCUAGUUGGUGUGGUAAAGGCGCACCAAGGCGACGAUCCGUAGCUGGUCUGAGAGGAUGAUCAGCCACACUGGGACUGAGACACGGCCCAGACUCCUACGGGAGGCAGCAGUGGGGAAUAUUGGACGAUGUGCGCAAGCCUCAUCCGGCCAUGCCGCGUGAGUGAUGAAGGCCCUAGGGUUGUAAAGCUCUUUCGCCGACGAAGAUAAUGACGGUAGUCGGAGAAGAAGCCCCGGCUAACUUCGUGCCAGCCGCCGCGGUAA